AAUAUUUAAUUUUUCUGUAUAUCAAAUUUUAGUAACAAGCAAAAAUUCCUUAAUUUGGCGAGGGGGUACAGCCUUCUAGCCCAAACCCUGCGGACACCCUGGUAUUAUUGUAUAGAACAAUAUAUAUAAUCCAUAUAUAUUAUAUAAUUCAAAUCAAAUUAUUCUGGAAUUAAAUUUUGAAGAGUGAAGAGAUAGAAAAUUUUGCAAUCAAAUAAUCCAUCACAAUGACUCGCACUUCCUUACGACGCCCUUACCCAAGUGAUGCAGAAGAUGCCAAUACAUCCCCCAUUUGGAAACCUCAUCAAAAGACUUUUAUGAACGAAUUCAAGGCUGAAUUUCUUAGGAGUAUUGACUGCUUUGGGCAAAAAAGAAGCUAUGAAGAGGUCAACUCAGAUGAAGACGAUGAUUAUAGUUGUUUCUGCUGUUGUCCAAAGAGAAUUAAAGCUGCUGCAAGAUUGGAUAAAAAAGAAUUAUAGAAUCCUUUUUUUGUUGUUGAUAUCUUUUGUUUAAUUUAUUAGUAGUAUAUUAAGUAUCUAAAUUAAUGAAUGUUUUAUUCAAAUAUAGUUUCAUUUCUAUAA
rnacentral:lncRNA from 1 species